AACGAACGCUGGCGGCAGGCCUAACACAUGCAAGUCAAACGGCCCUUCGGGGCAGUGGCGCACGGGUGCGUAACACGUGGGAAUCCACCCUUGGGUGCGGAAUAACUUCGGGAAACCGGCGCUAAUACCGCAUAAUGACUUCGGUCCAAAGAUUUAUCGCCAAAGGAUGAGCCCGCGCUAGAUUAGGUUGUUGGUGAGGUAAUGGCUCACCAAGCCUACGAUCUAUAGCUGGUUUGAGAGGAUGAUCAGCCACACUGGUACUGAGACACGGACCAGACUCCUACGGGAGGCAGCAGUGAGGAAUAUUGCGCAAUGGGGGAAACCCUGACGCAGCCAUGCCGCGUGAGUGAAGAAGGCCCUAGGGUUGUAAAGCUCUUUCAGAUGCGAAGAUAAUGACGGUAACAU
rnacentral:rRNA from 1 species